rnacentral:rRNA from 1 species
AUUGAACGCUGGCGGCAGGCCUAACACAUGCAAGUCGAACGAGUGGCGGAAGGGUGAGUCAUGUAUGGGAAACUGCCCGAUGGAGGGGGAUAACUACUGGAAACGGUAGCUAAUACCGCAUACCAUCGGAUGUGCCCAUAUGGGAUUAGCUAGUAGGUGGGGUAAAGGCUCAACUAGGCGACGAUCCCUAGCUGGUCUGAGAGGAUGAACAGCCACACUGGAACUGAGACACGGUCCAGACGCCUACGGGAGGCAGCAGUGGGGAAUAUUGCACAAUGGGCGCAAGCCUGAUGCAGCCAUGCCGCGUGUAUGAAGAAGGCCUUCGGGUUGUAAAGUACUUUCAGCGGGGAGGCGUUACUCGCAGAAGAAGCACCGGCUAACUCCGUGCCAGCAGCCGCGGUAAUAC